rnacentral:rRNA from 1 species
CCGGCGACCGGCGCACGGGUGAGUAACACGUAUGCAACCUGCCCUCUUCAGGGGGACAACCUUCCGAAAGGGAGGCUAAUCCCGCGUAUAUCGGUUUCGGGCAUCCGAGAUCGAGGAAAGAUUCAUCGGAAGAGGAUGGGCAUGCGACGCAUUAGCUAGACGGCGGGGUAACGGCCCACCGUGGCGACGAUGCGUAGGGGUUCUGAGAGGAAGGUCCCCCACACUGGUACUGAGACACGGACCAGACUCCUACGGAAGGCAGCAG